GACGAACGCUGGCGGCGUGCUUAACACAUGCAAGUCGAGCGGUAAGGCCCUUUCGGGGGUACGACGAGCGGCGAACGGGUGAGUAACACGUGGGUGACCUGCCCUUAGCUCUGGGAUAAGCCUGGGAAACUGGGUCUAAUACCGGAUAUGACUCCAUAACGCAUGUUGUGGGGUGGAAAGCCUUGUGCGGCUAGGGAUGGGCCCGCGGCCUAUCAGCUUGUUGGGUGGGGUGAUGGCCCACCAAGGCGACGACGGGUAGCCGGCCUGAGAGGGCGACCGGCCACACUGGGACUGAGACACGGCCCACGACUCCUACGGGAGGGCAGCAGUGGGGAAUCUUGCGCAAUGGGCGAAAGCCUGACGCAGCGACGCCGCGU
rnacentral:rRNA from 1 species